CCUACGGGAUGCUGCAGUGAGGAAUAUUGGUCAAUGGACGAGAGUCUGAACCAGCCAAGUAGCGUGAAGGAUGACUGCUCUAUGGGUUGUAAACUUCUUUUAUAAAGGAAUAAAACGAGGCACGUGUGCCUUUUUGCAUGUACUUUAUGAAUAAGGAUCGGCUAACUCCGUGCCAGCAGCCACGGUAAUACGGAGGUUCCGAGCGUUAUCCGGAUUUAUUGGGUGUAAAGGGAGCGUAGAUGGGUUGUUAAGUCAGUUGUGAAAGUUUGCGGCUCAACCGUAAAAUUGCAAUUGAUACUGGUAGUCUUGAGUGCAGUUGAGGUAGGCGGAAUUCGUGGUGUAGCGGUGAAAUGCUUAGAUAUCACGAAGAACCCCGAUGGCGAAGGCAGCUUACUAAACUGUGACUGACAUUGAUGCUCGAAAGUGUGGGUAUCAAACAGGAUUAGAUACCCUUGUAGUC
rnacentral:rRNA from 1 species